AUGAAACUCAUCUUUCUUUUGAUCUGUUGUGUUCUUAUCAUCGGGAUCAGUCAGUCGAAGCCUGCGCCACCCAGAAGUGUAGUUGCACCAUUUAAGGACUCUCCGAAAAGAAUUGCAGGAGUGAGAGCUGCCUACCCUUACAAAAGACGUGUGGUGUUACCUGACGGAAGAUCUCUUCGUAGAGAUGAGGAUGUUGCUGGCUUGAAAUAACAA
rnacentral:sRNA from 1 species